rnacentral:rRNA from 1 species
AGAGUUUUCAAAGCACAAAAACAUAUCCCUAUGUCUGUUUUCAAAGCACAAAGAGUUCUUGACGAGAUUCGUUGGCGUUACUACGAGGAAACUGUUAUGAUACUGAACCUCAUGCCCUAUCGAGCAUCUUAUCCCAUCUUAAAGUUGGUUUAUUCGGCAGCCGCAAAUGCUACUCAUUAUAAGGAUUUCGACAAAGCGAAUUUAUUUAUUACUAAAGCCGAAGUCAGUAGGAGUACUAUUAUGAAGAAAUUCAGAUCUUGAGCUCGAGGACGUAGUUUCCCCAUAAAAAAAAUGUGUCAUAUAACAAUUGUACUAAAUAUAGUAAAGAAAUCUAAAUAA